GUGCUCACUUUGGCAGCAUGUUUACUAAGAUUGGAAUGAUACAGAGGAGAUUAGCAUGGCCCCUGUGCAAGGAUGACAUGCGAAUUCAUGAAGCCUUCCGUAUAUUU